rnacentral:rRNA from 1 species
AAUGAACGCUGGCGGCAGGCCUAAAACAUGCAAGUCGAGCGCCCUAGCAAUAGGGAGCGGCGCACGGGUGAGUAACACGUGGGAAUAUGCCUCUUGGUACGGAACAACCUCGGGAAACUGAGGCUAAUACCGUAUGGUCCCUUCGGGGUAAAGAUUUAUCGCCAAAAGAGUAGCCCGCGUUGGAUUAGCUAGUUGGUAAGGUAACGGCUUACCAAGGCGACGAUCCAUAGCUGGUCUGAGAGGACGAUCAGCCACACUGGGACUGAGACACGGCCCAGACUCCUACGGGAGGCAGCAGUUAGGAAUAUUGGACAAUGGGCGCAAGCCUGAUCCAGCCAUGCCGCGUGAGUGAUGAAGGCCUUC